UGACUGAAGGGGGUCAGGCUGGGCAGCUGGGAAGCCAGCCCCACAGACACUUACACCCACCUCAUCCCCGCACACAGGGCUCAUGCUCAUGAAGCCACACGGAGCACCCACGGCCACUCCGGGGCAUUGUGCACCAGGUAAAGGGGAGGCGGCGGCGGCUUUGAGGCCCUUUACACUCUGGAGGCUAGUUGGGGAGACCACACAGAAGACACAAUACAAGAACCAAACGGAGAACUUCACCAGUUCAUGCAUCCGACACAUAAUUGCCCCAGUACUGCCUCCAGUUCAGGGCCUGCGCCAGAUGCUGGGAAUGCAAAGGCGCAAUGUCACAGGAAGGCCUCCGUACCCUGCCGCCCGUGAGGAGUCAGCCCAAGUUGCUGUUACAGAGGAGCCAUGCUUCAGGUGCGCCGCCCUCUCCACACCCAAGCACAGAAGAUCCCAGGGCUUUCUUUGCCCAGGAUCUCGGGGAAGCUGUGAAGACGCCUAUCCUCCCUGGUAAGAGAUCAGAAGAGAUUUCGCUCUAGGAUUCCUGUGUGAGUGGCGGCAGCUGAAGUCCUGAGCCAGCUGCCCUGUCGCGAAGAAAUGCUAGGAGGACCAGGAACCUGGGGUGAGUCCAGAGGCGCUCGUGGCUGGGAGAGUGGGGCGAGCAAACAGGAAAACAAGUACCCCGGGCAGAGCUCUGAGAAGAGGCCGUGGAGCAAGGAGCUCAUGGGCGGUGGGGGCGCAGAGAGGCUGCCACAAGGGCCUCAUUAAUAGGGUCACAGCAACAGGUCGAAAGAUGAGCUCUGAGCCAGCCCUGGGGUCCAGCCAGGAGAAGAUGAGGUCAGGAAGUAAAGUGAGUGAUGAAGCGAAGCGUCGGUGGUCGAGAGGUGUGACACGAGCUGCAAUGGCUUUAGAUAAUUCCUUUGAAAAGGUGACAGGCUGAAGGGUGGUGGGGACCUUAAUGUGUUUCCUGACAGGUGAGUGAGGAUGUGUGAAGGCAGGAGGAGGCAUCCGUGGAGAGGGAGGAGGUGGAGAAGGGAAGGAACAGGACUCCCUGCCCAGGCAGAGGGCUAACACACACUCAGGCCGCCAGUAAGGAUCACAGGUAAGGGCAAGUGGUGCUCAGGCACCUUCUAUGAAUAUACACAGACUCUCUUUUGCUGUAGACAAUCCCCCUGAGCCCCACUCUCUCCUCCUCUCUAGUGGAGCGCUCAGAGGAAUCUGAUCUAAAGGAACCCAGGGCCCCAUCCCUUCCGUGUCCUCCUGCCAAUGGGAAGAAAUAGAAACCUGUCUUGCUCUACAGCUGCACUGCCCAAUAAGGUAGCCACUAGCCACACGGCUAUUUGAAUUUAAUUAUAAUAAAGUUGUUCUUCAGUCCCAUUAGCCACAUUUCAAAUGUUUAACAGCCUCCUGGGGCCAGUGGCCACGGAGCUCAGCACAGAGAACAUGCCAUCACUGCACAGGGACUAUCGACACCACGGAGCUCAGCACAGAGAACAUGCCAUCACUGCACAGGGACCAUCAACACCACGGAGCUCAGCACAGAGAACAUGCCAUCACUGCACAGGGACCAUCGACACCACGGAGCUCAGCACAGAGAACAUGCCAUCACUGCACAGGGACCAUCAACACCACGGAGCUCAGCACAGAGAACAUGCCAUCACUGCACAGGGAACAUCGACACCACGGAGCUCAGCACAGAGAACAUGCCAUCACUGCACAGGGACCAUCAACACCACGGAGCUCAGCACAGAGAACAUGCCAUCACUACACAGGGACCAUCGACACCACGGAGCUCAGCACAGAGAACAUGCCAUCACUACACAGGGACCAUCGACACCACGGAGCUCAGCACAGAGAACAUGCCAUCACUGCUCCAGAGUCUUCGAGACAUUUCCCCUCCCUUCUACUUUGUCCUAUUCAGCUCCCUGCGCGCCAGAAGAGUCCCUCUCCAGCCCUCACACGGAAUCACUGGAUCUUGGUGGAAAGACCUCAGUGGGGCUCCAGGGAAGAGCCUUCCUGACAGUCUAGGACAGUGAUGGUGAACCUUUUGAGCUCGGCGUGUCAGCAUUUUGAAAAACCCUAACUUAACUCUGGUGCCGUGUCACAUAUAGAAAUUUUUU